ACGAGACACGUGAAACCUUGUGGGAAGCAGGGAGGACCACCUCCCAAGGCUAAAUACUACCUGAUGACCGAUAGUGAAGCAGUACCGUGAGGGAAAGGUGAAAAGAACCCCGGGAGGGGAGUGAAAUAGAACCUGAAACCGUGUGCCUACAACCGCUCAGAGCCCCUUAUGAGGGUGAUGAGGUGCUUUUUGUAGAACGAGCCAACGAGUUACGGUAUGUAGCAAGGUUAAGUACUUAAGGUACGGAGCCGAAGGGAAACCGAGUCUGAAUAGGGCGACUAGUUGCAUGCCGUAGACCCGAAACCGGGUGACCUAUCCAUGGCCAGGUUGAAGCGAGGGUAAAACCUCGUGGAGGACCGAACCACGUUGCUGUUGAAAAAGCAUGGGAUGAGCUGUGGAUAGCGGAGAAAUUCCAAUCGAACCCGGAGAUAGCUGGUUCUCUCCGAAAUAGCUUUAGGGCUAGCGUCGAGUAUGAGUAGUGGAGGUAGAGCACUGAAUGGGCUAGGGGGCAUAGCGCUUACCGAACCUUAUCAAACUCCGAAUGCCACAUACUUUGAGCUCGGCAGUCAGACUACGAAUGAUAAGAUCCGUGGUCAAAAGGGAAACAGCCCAGAUCGUCAGCUAAGGUCCCAAAGUGUAAGUUAAGUGGGAAAGGAUGUGAGAUUUCUAAGACAACUAGGAUGUUGGCUUAGAAGCAGCCAUUCAUUAAAAGAGUGCGUAAUAGCUCACUAGUCGAGAGAUCUUGCGCCGAAAAUGUAACGGGGCUAAACUUACCACCGAAGCUACGGGCUUGAACUUAGUUCAAGCGGUAGGAGAGCGUCGUAACCGGGCUGAAGUCGUACCGUAAGGAGCGGUGGACUGGUUACGAGUGAGAAUGUUGGCAUCAGUAGCGAGAUGUGGGUGAGAAUCCCACAGGCCGAAAACCUAAGGUUUCCUCAGGAAGGUUCGUCCGCUGAGGGUUAGUCGGGACCUAAGCCGAGGCCGAAAGGCGUAGGUGAUGGACAACUGGUUGAUAUUCCAGUACCACUACCAUCGUUAUUAUCGAUGGCGUGACGCAGGAGGAUAGUGUGUGCUAGCUAUUGGAUGCUAGUCUAAGCGUUUAGGCAGUGAGAGUAGGCAAAUCCGCUCUCAUAAUGCUGAGGCGUGAUGGGGAAGGUUCUACGGAACCGAAGUACAUGAUUCCACGCUGCCAAGAAAAGCGUCUAGAGAGAGAAGUAGUGCCCGUACCGCAAACCGACACAGGUAGGUGAGGAGAGAAUCCUAAGGCCGGCGGAAGAAUUACAGUUAAGGAACUCGGCAAAUUGACCCCGUAAGUUCGCGAGAAGGGGUGCCUACGAGAGUAGGCCGCAGAGAAUAGGCCCAAGCAACUGUUUAGCAAAAACACAGGUCUCUGCUAAAGCGUAAGCUGAUGUAUAGGGGCUGACGCCUGCCCGGUGCUGGAAGGUUAAGGGGAACACUUAGCGCAAGCGAAGGUGUGAACUUAAGCCCCAGUAAACGGCGGCCGUAACUAUAACGGUCCUAAGGUAGCGAAAUUCCUUGUCAGGUAAGUUCUGACCCGCACGAAUGGCGUAAUGACUUGGGCACUGUCUCAACUGUAAAUCCGGCGAAGUUGUAGUGCGAGUGAAGAUGCUCGCUACCCGCGAUUGGACGGAAAGACCCCGUAGAGCUUUACUGUAGCUUAGCAUUGAGUUUUGGUAUUGUCUGUACAGGAUAGGUGGGAGACUAGGAAACCAGGGCGUCAGCCUUGGUGGAGUCAACCUUGGGAUACCACCCUGACAGUACUGAAAUUCUAACUGGCGGCCAUGAAUCUGGUCACAGGACAUUGUUAGGUGGGCAGUUUGACUGGGGCGGUCGCCUCCUAAAAAGUAACGGAGGCGCCCAAAGGUUCCCUCAGAACGGUCGGAAAUCGUUCGAAGAGUGCAAAGGCAGAAGGGAGCCUGACUGCGACACCCACAAGUGGAGCAGGGACGAAAGUCGGGCUUAGUGAUCCGGUGGUACCUCGUGGGAGGGCCAUCGCUCAACGGAUAAAAGCUACCUCGGGGAUAACAGGCUGAUCUCCCCCAAGAGUCCACAUCGACGGGGAGGUUUGGCACCUCGAUGUCGGCUCGUCGCAUCCUGGGGCUGAAGUAGGUCCCAAGGGUUGGGCUGUUCGCCCAUUAAAGCGGCACGCGAGCUGGGUUCAGAACGUCGUGAGACAGUUCGGUCCCUAUCCGUCGCGGGCGUAGGAAAUUUGAGAGGAGCUGUCCUUAGUACGAGAGGACCGGGAUGGACUGACCUCUGGUGUACCAGUUGUUCCGCCAGGAGCACAGCUGGGUAGCUAAGUCGGGAAUGGAUAAACGCUGAAAGCAUCUAAGCGUGAAGCCAACCU
rnacentral:rRNA from 1 species